AAGAACUAACAGGAUUCCCCUAGUAACUGCGAGUGAAGCGGGAAAAGCUCAAAUUUAAAAUCUGGUGGUCUUUGGCCGUCCGAGUUGUAAUUUAGAGAAGCGUCUUCCGCGCUGGACCGUGCACAAGUCUCCUGGAAUGGAGCGUCGUAGAGGGUGAGAAUCCCGUCUUUGGCAUGGACACACCAGGGCUUUUGUGAUGCGCUCUCGAAGAGUCGAGUUGUUUGGGAAUGCAGCUCAAAAUGGGUGGUGAACUCCAUCUAAAGCUAAAUAUUGGCGAGAGACCGAUAGCGAACAAGUACCGUGAGGGAAAGAUGAAAAGCACUUUGGAAAGAGAGUGAAACAGUACGUGAAAUUGUUGAAAGGGAAACGCUUGAAGUCAGUCGCGUCGACCGAGACUCAGCCUCGCCUCGGCUUGGUGUACUUCUCGGCCGACGGGUCAGCAUCAAUUUUGCCUCUUGGAUAAUGGCGGGGGAAAUGUGACACCUUUACGGUGUGUUAUAGUCUCUCGUCGCAUGCAAGGGUCGGGAUUGAGGAACUCAGCACGCGCCUUUGGGCGUCGGGGCUUUGCCCACGAUUACGUGCUUAGGAUGUUGGCGUAAUGGCUUUAAACGACCCGUCUUGAAACACGGACCAAGGAGUCUAACAUGCCUGCGAGUGUUCGGGUGGAAAACCCGUGCGCGCAAUGAAAGUGAAAGUUGGGACCU
rnacentral:rRNA from 1 species